UACGUAGGGUCCAAGCGUUAUCCGGAAUCACUGGGCGUAAAGCGUCCGCAGCCGGCGUGUUAAGUGAGAUGUUAAAUCGUGUGGCUCAACCAUAUCGAUGUAUCUCAUACUGGCAUGCUAGAGGAAAUCAGAGGCAAGUGGAAUUUGUAGUGUAGCAGUGAAAUGCGCAGAUAUCAGGAGGAACACCGGUGGCGAAGGCGGGUCUCUGGGCCGAAACUGACGCUGAGGAGCGAAAGCGUGGGGAGCAAACAGG
rnacentral:rRNA from 1 species